ACUUUGAACUUUUAUUUAUCUAUUUAUUUUUGCUGAGGCUCCAGGCGCGUGGCGUUCCCCAACAGCGGGAAAGGACAGUGUGAACCUUGCAAAGAUUGCUGUCCUUGUGCUGGCUUCGUCGUCUGGGAGCUUCAGGAGAGCGAGCUUUAAGAGGUCGUCUUAUUGGGUUUACCUAGUUUAUUGUAACAAAACCAGCAGGCCUUGCACAAACAAGGCCACAAUUCCUAUAUGGGUCUCCUGAAGCUAAAUCCAAUGUCAGAAGCUGCAUUCCUUCCCGAAGGUGGAAGAAAUCAUGACUCCUCGACUUGACCAGGAUGGAUUCAGAGCUCACCAGAAUAAUCUCAUUUCCAUGUCUGCAUUCUUAACCGCAUCAGUAAAGACCCUUAUGAAACGUAAAAAAAAGUUUAUGGUUCCUGAAUUUAUAGAGACAAAUUUCUUUUUGAGGGAAUCAUUAUCCUGCCUGCUAUAGGAUCUUUUUUGAAUACACUAUGCCUGUCCUACAAAGCGAUCUCCAUUCUUUGCAGUCACAAUAAGAAAUGUUUGUUCAUACAAAUAUGAAAUGUAUCCACUUAAAAUUUACAUGCUGCAUAGGUUAAUAUUUUGACUGGUAGUUUAUUGUACCAUAUUAUUUUUGAUCCAUUGAUUCUAACUUAAGAUCCCCAUCUAUUAUAGGACAUGUUUCAGAUACAACCAUUGAAAACAUUAUUAAUUACAACCUUUGAUUCUAGCAUACAUUCUGAUGUAUUCCUUAUCUUAAACUCUCCUCACAUACUCUUUGAAAUCGAAAUGAUAAAUAGAAAUUUUAAUCAAGCUUGGUUUUUUGUUUUUUUUUUGUUUUGUUUUGUUUUUUUUUGUUGUUGUUGUUUUUUGCUACAAGAAAAGUUUGGCUCUUCCCCACUCUCCAACCUGCUAUCCAUUGAUAUCAUUAAUUGUAUAUUGUCUUGAUUUCCCAGAAGUCUGUUGAUUUAAGAUGUCAAUCCUUACAGAGCUGACCUGUAACUACAGGUGACUUGAUAAACUCAAAAUAAGUUUGAUUUAAAUAAAAUAAAUCAACUUGUCGAAGGAA